rnacentral:lncRNA from 1 species
CCUUUUUAGACCACAGCUGUCACAUGUUUCUGACUCAACUUGCUUCUGCCAUGCCAGCGUCACCCCUGGUCUCAGGAAGCCAGGCACCCCGAAUGGAGAGACCAGCUGAAGCCGCGGCAGAAGAACAAAAAUUGUGAAGAUUUAAUGGACAUUUAUCAGUUCCCAAAAUUAAUAUUUUUAUAAUUUCUUACGCCUGUCUUUACUGCAAUCUCUGAACAUAAAUUGUGAAGAUUUCAUGGAUAUUUAUCACUUCCCCAAUCAAUACUCUUAUAAUUUCUUAUGUUUGUCUUUAAUCUCUUAAUCCCGUCAUCUUUGUAAGCUGAGGAUGUAUGUCACCUCAGGACCCUGUGAUGAUUGCAUUAACUGUACAGAUUGUAAAACGUGUGUUUGAACAAUAUGAAACCAGUGCACCCUGAAAAAGGACAGAAUAACAGUGAUUUUCAGGGAACAAAAGAGAUAAUCAUAAGGCCUGACUGCCUGCGGGGUUGGGCAGAACACAGCCAUAUUUUUCUUCUCGCAGAAAGCCUAUAGAUGGAUGUGUGAGUAGGAGAAAUAUUGCUGAAUUCUUUUCCCAGCAAGGAAUAUUAAUAAUUGAUAGCCCUGGGGAAGGAAUGCAUUCCUGGGGGGAGGUCUAUGAACGCCUGCUCUGGGAUUGUCUGUCUUAUGUGGUUGAGAUAAGGACUGAAAUACACCCUGGUCUCCCGCAGUGCCCUCAGGCUUGCUAGGAUUGGGAAAUUCCAGCCUGGUGAAUUCUAGUCAGACCGGUUGUCUGCUCUCAAACUCUCUUUCCUGUUAAGAUGUUUAUCAAGACAAUGCAUGCACAGGAGGACAUGGACCCUCAUCAGUAAUUC